AAAUUCGUUAAUCUUAAUUAACCUAGAUGAGUAUUUAGAACUUUUUCUUAUUUUUGAGUUUGUAAAAAUUAAAUCUUUCAAGUAAGGUGAACGAUUUUGCUGUGUUUAAUUUAUACAAAAUGUCUCUUUAAAGUUUCAUUAACUCAAAAUCUUUCAGCCCAGUGAUUUUGCGUGUGACGUCAUCCAGGUUCACGUACGUUCUCGUGCUUCAUUCGUUUUUUCAAGAUGGCGGAUCGGCCUCGCUUCACACUACAAAUUGAAGGUCGGUUGUUGCUGACUACAGAAAGAUUCUUAUAUGGAGGCAUGUAAAAGCAAGGAAAGUGAAACUUCAGCUAGACCUUGAGUUCAGUUUACAAUAUGAAGAUCCUGAUAUCAACAUCUGAUCUGAUCAACACCUGAUUUUCAUCUGAGCUGCAGAGUACCAACAUGUUACAAAUGAGAAUUUUCCCCACAAAUUCUUUGGACAACCGCACCACCACCUAUUUCAUUUUAUGACAAUUUUAAGGCAAACAGCAUCCAAAACUGACAAGACAGCAGAUACCCUGGCUAAUCUUUUGAAGGUUUAUGAUGAGCAGGAACUGCAUGAUGUCAGUUCAUGAUGGACUACUGUUAUCAGAGGUCUUUUGGUCUUGCUGCGUGAGCGUGACUGGGGAUUCUUUAGGACCACCCUGAUUAAUAAUCCUGAAGCGCUGACUGAAGAUGCUUUAUUGGCCCUGCAGUCACUGAGGGUCUCUGCUGUCCUGAAGAAUGAAUUGGACACCACCCACAGCACACUUCCAGACCUUUUUUGUCUUGUUUGGAUUAAUGUAUGCUCUUCACAUAGUAUAUAGUAAAGGACUUUGAACUUGUACAAAAAGUUUUGCUUGGCAUGGAUGAUAGAAAAUAGAAAGUCGAUUAGCAUAGAAUCCUUAAAGAAUGAGUUGAUGUAGAGCCUUUUUUUGUACUCAAUAAAGACUGUCACUGGGGUAGUAACUUCAAAACAUGUAUGUACCUUUAAUUGGUAAUG